UGAGCAAUCUGCCCUUCUCAUCGGAAUAAGCGUUGGAAACGACGUCUAAUGCCGAAUACGACCUCCUUUCGCAUGAUCGGAGGUGGAAAGUUCCGGCGGAGAAGGAUGAGCUCGCGGCCUAUCAGCUAGUUGGUGUGGGUAAUGGCCCACAAGGCGACGACGGGUAGCCGGCCUGAGAGGGUGACCCGGCCACACGUGGGACUGAGACACGGCCCAGACCUCCGUACGGGAGGNAG
rnacentral:rRNA from 1 species